AUACGUAGGUGGCGAGCGUUGUCCGGAUUUACUGGGCGUAAAGAGUGCGUAGGCGGAUGUUUAAGUGAGAUGUGAAAUACCCGAGCUCAACUUGGGUGCUGCAUUUCAAACUGGGCAUCUAGAGUGCAGGAGAGGAAAGCGGAAUUCCUAGUGUAGCGGUGAAAUGCGUAGAGAUUAGGAAGAACACCAGUGGCGAAGGCGGCUUUCUGGACUGUAACUGACGCUGAGGCACGAAAGCGUGGGGAGCAAACAGGAUUAGAUCCCCUGGUAGUCCACGCCGUAAACGAUGGGUACUAGGUGUCGGGGGUCCAACCUCGGUGCCGCAGUAAACACAUUAAGUACCCCGCCUGGGAGUACGGUCGCAAGAUUAAAACUCAAAGGAAUUGACGGGG
rnacentral:rRNA from 1 species